AGUUUAGUAGGUUAGUGGAGACUGCUUACUUUCAAAGUAAGAGGGGAUAUGAUGAGAGUCCUAGGCUG
rnacentral:tRNA from 1 species